rnacentral:rRNA from 1 species
CAGCAGCCGCGGUAAUACGGAGGGGGCUAGCGUUGUUCGGAAUUACUGGGCGUAAAGCGCACGUAGGCGGCUUGGUAAGUUAGAGGUGAAAGCCUGGAGCUCAACUCCAGAAUUGCCUUUAAGACUGCCGAGCUAGCAGGUGAGAGAGGUAAGUGGAAUUCAGAGUGUAGAGGUGAAAUUCGUAGAUAUUCGGAAGAACACCAGUGGCGAAGGCGGCUUACUGGCUCAUACUGGACGCUGGGGUGCGAAAGCGUGGGGAGCAAACAGGAUUAGAUACCCCCGUAGUCCCUGUCUCUUAUAC